rnacentral:lncRNA from 1 species
AGCGCUAGAAUAAACACGUCUAUUAAUACCAGCAAAAGUUGUGUUCAGUAUCACACACUGCCAUAUUGUGGCUUUUUCAAUAUUGCAACCGUUUGCAAGCAGUCAAUCCUGACUCAUUAAAUAAACCACGAAUAAGCUUCGCGGUGUUUACUACUUGCACUGACUUCCAGGUAAACAGGUGCAAGUUUAAAGUCUAAGGCUAUAAUCUUACCUUCACUUACCUGAGCACAAGACUCACUGAACGCCAAGUCUCACUUUUCAACACCCCCAAGACUUGAGCUUUGUGCUUCAAGAGACCGAAGCGAGUCGCUUUCUCGCGAACUCAGCGCCACUUUCCCUCCCAAAGGGACGCCAAUACCGGCCCACCGACCAAGAUUGUUGUAAAAAGGAUGCACGACAUUAGCUUGACGGCUUUUGCCAACCGUCCCCUCAUCAUGGAUGAGACUGCACAAAAAUCUCUAGUCCGCAAGGCAACUGGGCGAGGACCGUAGCAAUAAUAUUAAAUCCCACGGCAAACCGGUUUUGUUUUUUUUACGCACCUCACCAAGCAGCAGCCCCGGCGAAGCGAGUCACUCUAGCAGCUGAGCCCAUGCACGCGGAGCCAAAAGCGCCGGGCGAGGGAGCGCGGUCCAAACCCGGGCGAGGCAAGCUUAGACGAAGCCCCCAAGCUUACCUCUUCGGCCUUGGCUGGAGGAAGGAAAAAGCAAAUCUCCACCAUUUUUUUUUAAUCACACCCGGUCUGGCUACCCUCGCUUCUCUCAAGGCAGAGCGAAGCUAAUGGCUAGGCUCUAUCCAAUGGCACCAGAAGCAGAGCCCAUGUGAUUGCUGGCGACGCCUUUUUUCCCCGCCUCGCAGUUCAGGUGCGGUUGCAACCGAGCCCCCGAAAGGAAAGUCCGGCGCGCGUACCCGGGUGCUUUUUUGAGGGGGGGGCGGUGUUUGCUCGUUUUUUAGAUUGGCCUCCAAUGGUGGGAAUGCUCCUCUGCACCGUGCCGGAGGACAGUUUUCCGUCCCUGGAAAUCUUCCUUGUGCUUCAGGCGAUUUUGUCUGGUACCCGCUCCUCUUCUGAGUUGUCUGAAUCUGAGUGCGUUCAGGGCCCAUUUCAGAUCUCCGUUUUGCACCGGCCAUCCAGCAAAGCUUUGGCAAGAGACUAUUGUCCUGGUUCUGACAGGUUUCUGCAUUGCACUUGCAAUCCUCCAAGCAGGCCAUUUUCUGCUUUCAGUAACCGCAGUCCUUGUUUCCGCAGUGGCCUCCACAGGCGCACCCGUGUAAGAACAAAGUAGAAAAUAGCAUCUGGAUGGGCAUUUCAAAUGAAAUGGAAUAUAGUUGAUGACUGAUAACAUAGAAUUGGAUCAUAAAGAACUGAAGUGAACCUGGAACUAGGUAAUAAGCCAACAAUAGAGAGUGAAAGUUGGUGUUGCAAAAUAGAAUGGCAAAUUACAACUACCAGGCUCCAAAAAUAACAGUGGAUGCAAGAUUGGUUGAUAACUUCAAUGGGAAGUAAAAUCAGAUUGAAAUUAGAACAUCUCAGCAGCUUUAAACGAAGGACAGUACUAAAUAAGGUAGGUCAGAUGAAAUCCUUGGCCAAAUUAAAAUCAGGAAGCCCAAAGAGUGUGACAGACAUUGAUAUCUGGUUUAUGGGUCUUCAACCUUUAUAGUCCAAUGGCCACAUUGCUAUGAGAGGAUUUGCAAAAUGAUAAUCAUGGAUGUAGCAGUAAAUUAUCAAGAACCAACAUACCAGAAGGCAUAAAGUGAUGCUAUUUCUCCCUAGCCACCCCACAAAUGUUUUCUAUCUAGUUGGUACCUUCCAAACAACACACUGAGAUGUAACCAUCAUUUUUAAUUUCAAAGAAUGUGACUCUGGUUCAUGUAGGAUGCAGAAAAGGUCUGACAAUAAAAUUCAGUCUAUAAGCUUCCCUUUUAUUUAUUUUUAACAAAAUAUUGAAUCAAGUAAAUCAUGAGGGGGCAAACGAUGUGUUGCCAAGUAUAUUGAUACAUGCACACAGCAAAUGGAUUCACAGGAUUGAUUAAAACUAUCCCAGGUGACCUGGAUCCAGACAGCAAGCAUAAUUAUAUGCCGCCCCGAGUCCUUUGGGAGAGGGGGCGGCAUAUAAGUUGAAUUAAUAAAUAAUUAUUUCAAGUUUUGUUCAAUAGCAUUAUUUGACUCCUCUACUUUCAGGCUCAAAUGUUGCAAGUCCAUAAAAUGCCUAAAGAAUCAUAAAAAUGCAAC